ACAAACAAAAAUGUUGUUAUUUGCACUUUAUGCAGGAAGGAGUUUGUUUAUCACAGGAGCACUUCCACACUUCGUUAUCACCUCAACGCAAAACAUGUUGGGGCUAGCGCGCAGAAUCCAACACAGACAAUGAGGACCAGGAGGAGAACAACCACAGCUACACCAGUGAUGACACUAAAUGAACCUCCACCUGAAACAAGCAGCACAGCCAGUAAGGAUCAGGAGAAUACAACGAUGACGCCAAGUGACCAUAGUCUGGAUCAUCAUCAUCAACCUUCUUUAUCCAUGCUGUCUUAGGAAUCCUCUUCUUGAUGUUACUGUCAU